AUUGAACGCUGGCGGCAGGCCUAACACAUGCAAGUCGAGCGAGCGGCGGACGGGUGAGUAAUGUCUGGGAAACUGCCUGAUGGAGGGGGAUAACUACUGGAAACGGUAGCUAAUACCGCAUACCAUCAGAUGUGCCCAGAUGGUAUUAGCUAGUAGGUGGGGUAACGACUUACUUAGGCGACGAUCCCUAGCUGGUCUGAGAGGAUGACCAGCCACACUGGAACUGAGACACGGUCCAGACUCCUACGGGAGGCAGCAGUGGGGAAUAUUGCACAAUGGGCGCAAGCCUGAUGCAGCCAUGCCGCGUGUGUGAAGAAGGCCUUCGGGUUGUAAAGCACUUUCAGCGGGGAGGCGUUACCCGCUGAAGAAGCACCGGCUAACUCCGUGCCAGCAGCCGCGGUAAUAC
rnacentral:rRNA from 1 species